rnacentral:rRNA from 1 species
CCUACGAGUGGCAGCAGUGAGGAAUAUUGGUCAAUGGGCGCGAGCCUGAACCAGCCAAGUAGCGUGAAGGAUGGCUGCCCUACGGGUUGUAAACUUCUGUUAUAAAGGAAUAAAGUGAGGCACGUGUGCCUUUUUGUAUGUACUUGAUGAAUAAGGAUCGGCUAACUCCGUGCCAGCAGCCGCGGUAAGAGGGAGGAUCCGAGCGUUAUCCGGAUUUAUUGGGGUUAAAGGGAGCGUAGAUGGGUUGUUAGGUCAGUUGUGAAAGUGUGCGGCUCAACCGUAAAAUUGCAAUUGAUACUGGCAGCCUUGAGUACAGUUGGGGUAGGCGGAAUUCGUGGUGUAGCGGUGAAAUGCUUAGAUAGCACGAAGAACUCCGAUUGCGAAGGCAGCCUACUAAACUGCCACUGACAUUGAUGCUCGAAAGUGUGGGUAUCAAACAGGAUUAGAUACCCUAGUAGUC